ensembl:lncRNA
AACAUGUUUGCAGUUCCUGCAAAGUGCUUGGUUUUGCCUUUGUUCCUGCAGCAGGAAGCCUUGCCUUUUUUUCUCAGGCUAUUUAAAACUUGUCUGUGAUGACAUGAUUAGAAAGGUGCAGGUUCUUUACUGCUCUGUGUAGAAAAAAAUCACUGACUUUUUUUUUUGCAUUUUUCAGUUUUCACCUGUCUUUACUAACCUACAUGGAAGAUGCUGCUUAAAUUAUGGCCUACCUUCCCUUUCUAGCCUUACCCAUGUGUUUCUGGAAACAUCUUUACACCCAUGCUAACAGCCAUGAGGCUGGAUCAUGAGCUGUGUCAAGGAGCUGACCCCAGCAAGAAUCUAUCAAAACCAGCAAAAUAAAUAAAUAAUAAUAAUAAAAUAAAAAUUUUUGAAGCUGCAGCCUGAAGAGCUACAGGCUUAUAUCUCUCAACUUACUGGAUCCAGCCACAAACCAGAUGUUCUGGAGGGGGCUUUCUGGCUGGAUGAGUUCCUAAGGAUGGUUCAGAGUCAGCCACCUGUGCUCCAGGAACCCUUGGUAACAAACUAUAGAGGAAAGAUGUAUAUACUAAAUGACAAGGAGAUGAAUGCUGAAGUUUCCAUGUGCAUUCAAGUGUUUGGUGUUUCUACUCUUCUUCCAUUUGAGAAGACCAUAUAUAUGAUAUUGCUGCCAUUAUAAUGACAUUCUUCAACAAGGAAGAUGCGUCUUUUUAUGGGCAUUGGCACCAUUUACAGGAUCCACAUUUAUGCAAGUCUGUUCUGUAUUUCAUUUAAAUAAAGCCUCCAUAAAAGCUUUGAU